AGACAGUGCGGUAAAGCCAAGGGAGAUUAUCCAGACCCCCAGGAGCGAACAGCAAGCAGCAACCGAAGGCGCAAGUGCCAGGAUUACAGCCUAGGCUGCUCCAACUAUGAGCCCUUCCUCGGACCCUGGGACUCGGCUACUUGGGGUUUGGGGGUCUUCCACACCACAGAGGCACAAAGCUGACUUUAAUCACUUUUUUUCCUUUAAACUUGAUUCUGCCGCAGUGGAGCCAGCACAGCGGAUGUUUUCACACCCAGCAAGACAAAGGCCGUCGUCUCCGCCAUGACACUGUUCCGUUCCAAGCAGAGGCCGGGAUUCUGGACUCCUCGAAAAAUCAAAAAGAAACAAGGAAAACAAACAACAAAUACAGCAACAAACAGAAAAAACUGAAAACCACCAAAAUCGUUUGCCCGUUUGCCCGUGCCAGGGGUGAUCUGGGCAUCUGUUGCAGCAGAAGGCGCUUGUGUGGGGCUAAUUUUUCUUUUGGUGGGGGGGACAAGCUGUUGGCUUGUUUGCUAUUUCAACUUCGUUUAUAAUUAACUUAAAAAAAACCCCACCAUUCAGCCUAGUCAACAACAAACAAAGAAAAAGCAGACAUCGGAAGAGAAAUGCCAUAGGAAGCGGCAUGAAUACAUGCCACAGCCGGUGCCACUUGCCACUCGGAAAACCUCAGGGAAAGAUGCCAAUUCUACAGCUGCGAAGAAGGCAGAGAAAGGAGGAUAAAGGUCUACAACUAGAAAUCAUAAGGAAAGAAUACUGCUUGUAUAAUCCUGGAUUGCAAUUGCACACAGCCUCUGCUGGGAGAAGAGAGGGAAUAUUUAAAUGGAGAUAUAGAUGGGUAUAAAUUAAAAGAUAGGCACCUAUCGAUUGCGUAUAAACACAUGUGUAAGGUUGUAUGUGUAUAUAAAUAUGCAUAUUUUCAGACAAA
rnacentral:lncRNA from 10 species